rnacentral:rRNA from 1 species
AGAGUUUGAUCCUGGCUCAGGAUGAACGCUAGCGGCGUGCCUAAUGCGUGCAAGUCGAACGGGAUCCCAUAGAUUCGUCUAAGGGUGAGAGUGGCGAACGGGUGAGUAACACGUAGGUGACCUGCCCCAGAGAGGGGGACAACCAGUGGAAACGCUGGCUAAUACCCCGGAUGUCAAGGUUUUUAGAAACCCUUGACUGAAGCUCCGGCGCUCUGGGAGGGGCCUGCGGUCCAUCAGCUUGUUGGUAGGGUAACGGCCUACCAAGGCGAAGACGGAUAGGGGGCGUGAGAGCGUGACCCCCCACACUGGUACUGACACACGGACCAGAUACCUGCGGGUAGCAGCAGCAAGGAAUAUUGCCCAAUGGACGAAAGUCUGAGGCAGCAACGCCGCGUGAAGGAAGAAGGCUUUCGGGUUGUAAACUUCUUUUUUGGGGGAAGAGAAAGGACGGUACCCCAAGAAUAAGAUCCGGCUAACUACGUGCCAGCAGCCGCGGUAAAACGUAGGGAUCGAGCGUUAUCCGGAUUUACUGGGCGUAAAGCGCGUGCAGGCGGUUUUCUAAGUCGGACGUGAAAGCUCCUGGCCCAACUGGGAGAGGCCGUUCGAAACUGGAAGACUUGAGGAUGGUAGAGGUAAGUGGAAUUCCCGGUGUAGUGGUGAAAUGCGUAGAUAUCGGGAGGAACACCAGUGGCGAAGGCGGCUUACUGGGCCAUUCCUGACGCUGAGACGCGAAAGCUAGGGGAGAGAACGGGAUUAGAAACCCCGGUAUUCCUAGCCGUAAACGAUGUCAACUAGGUGUAGGGGGUAUCCAACCCCCCUGUGCUGUAGCUAACGCGUUAAGUUGACCGCCUGGGGACUACGGCCGCAAGGCUAAAACUCAAAGGAAUUGACGGGGACCCGCACAAGCAGCGGAGCGUGUGGUUUAAUUCGAGCUACGCGAAGAACCUUACCAGGGUUUGACAUGUACGUGGUAGGAAGGUGAAAGCCGACUGACCCUUCGGGGAGCGUACACAGGUGCUGCAUGGCUGUCGUCAGCUCGUGCCGCGAGGUGUUAGGUUAAGUCCUGUAACGAGCGCAACCCUCGUCGUUAGUUAUACGUGUCUAACGAGACUGCCGGUGAUAAGCCGGAGGAAGGUGGGGAUGACGUCAAGUCAGCAUGGCCUUUAUAUCCUGGGCUACACACACGCUACAAUGGCCGGUACAAUGGGUAGCCAAGCCGCGAGGCGGAGCCAAUCCUUCAAAGCCGGUCUCAGUUCGGAUUGUAGGCUGCAACUCGCCUGCAUGAAGUCGGAGUUGCUAGUAAACGCGCGUCAGCAACAGUGCGUUGAAUACGUUCCCGGGUCUUGUACACACCGCCCGUCACGUCAUGGAAGUUGGCAACGCCUGAAGUCAGUGAGCUAACCCUAACGGGAGGCAGCUGCCCAAGGCGGGGUCGGUAACUGGGACGAAGUCGUAACAAGGUA